rnacentral:rRNA from 1 species
GAGAGGGAGCCUGAGAAACGGCUACCACAUCCAAGGAAGGCAGCAGGCGCGCAAAUUACCCAAUCCCAACACGGGGAGGUAGUGACAAUAAAUAACAAUAGGGGGCCCUUACGGGUUUCGUAAUUGGAAUGAGUACAAUUUAAAUCUCUUAACGAGGAACAAUUGGAGGGCAAGUCGGGUGCCAGCACCCGCGGUAAUUCCAGCUCCAAUAGCGUAUAUUAAAGUUGUUGCAGUUAAAAAGCUCGUAGUUGAAUUUCGGGAUUUGUCAGUUGGUCGGGCUUAACUGUCCGUACUGAUUUGAUGAGUUCCUACCUUCUGAAUAACCACCAUGCUAUUAAGUUAGUGCGUUGGGGAAGCAAAUCUAUUACCUUGAAAAAAUUAGAGUGCUUAAAGCGGGCUUGUGCUUGAAUAGAUUAGCAUGGAAUAAUAAAAUAGGACGGAUGGUUCUAUUUUGUUGGUUUCUAGGAUCACCGUAAUGAUUAAUAGGGAUAGUUGGGGGCAUUAGUAUUCAAUUGUCAGAGGUGAAAUUCUUGGAUUUAUUGAAGACUAACUUCUGCGAAAGCAUUUGCCAAGGAUGUUUUCAUUAAUCAAGAACGAAAGUUAGGGGAUCGAAGACGAUCAGAUACCGUCGUAGUCUUAACCAUAAACUAUGCCGACU